AUUGGUUCGGAAACGAGGCUGUUUUAGGGAAAGAAAAAAACGACGCACUGUCAGGGCACGCGUCGAAAGUCAUCUUUGAAGGUAUGAUGAAGCUGUGGGUGUUAUUAUGCCUGCUGGCUUGUCUCACUCCACUGACGGCUAGGCAACAAGAUGUCGAGGUCGACGAUAACGAGUUUGCCAUUGUUCAGAAGAGGAGUAGUGGAAAACUCCACAAGGAAUUGCUGGAUCUGAGUCAGUUCACAGAGAAGAAGAAUAUGGAUAAGAAGCUCGACAUUCCGACCUGUUUUCAAGUCCUCAGCGAGAUCAUGGAGGCCACAACAGCUGUGCUGGACAAAAAGGUGUGCCAGGUCCUACAGAAGUACGAAGCCUGCGUGGAGUACAUCCACUUCUCUGACCAGUACUCAGGAAUCAAGUCCACGGAUGACAGCCAGCCCACUAAGUUGCCUCAAGUGAAGCCAGUCCUGAUGUUUGUGUUCAAUGUACCUGGUAAGGGGAAGAGCAAGCCAUCCGACAUGGAGUCCAUGAAACCUCUGCUACAGAUGGUGUUUCACUGCAUUGACAAAGUCAGCCGCCUCCAGCUCAGCAGAGAGGCCAAACAGAAAGCGGAAAAGAACCGACAGAAAGCAGAGGAGGAAUAUGAGCGCCUGACUCACAGCCAGCGACAGGAAGCGGCCCAGCUACGCCGCGAGGAGAAAAGACGCGCAGAGAAAGAGCGACUCCUGAACGAGGAGGAUCCGGAUAAAGCUCGCAAGCUGGAGGAAAGAGAAAAUCGCAGGGAAAUGAAGCGUAAACAGCCGAAGAUGAAAAUGAUGAAAGUACAAGGCUGAGACAGUCAGAUUUUGUGCAAUGGAGAAGUGUUAGAGACCCUAUAAAUAAUAUAAUAUUUUUUAACUUGUCAGUGAGUGAAUGUAUGUAUGUUUGUAUAAGCUAGAGUGGCAAAAUGAUCAAUAAUUACAGCUUUUAUGACAGUGUCAUGUAAAGCAAAGUUUAUGAAUGGUAGUACGAAACUUUUUAAAAUAACCUUAAUUUUAUAAAAAUUUUAUGACUUGUAGUUGAGUGCAUUUCAUGAUAAAACUAAUGCAAUGAUAUCAUGCUCUAUUUGAGAAACUUUCAUGUUCACACGCAUUGCAAUAAAAUUGUGUUUUU
rnacentral:misc_RNA from 1 species